rnacentral:rRNA from 1 species
UUCAUAGCCAACCCAGUUACGGGCAACCCUGUUACGACUUUGAAACAGGGGCUAAUACCGUAUAACAGAGAAAACCGCCUGGUUUUCUUUUAAAAGAUGGCUCUGCUAUCACUUCUGGAUGGACCCGCGGCGCAUUAGCUAGUUGGUGAGGUAACGGCUCACCAAGGCGAUGAUGCGUAGCCGACCUGAGAGGGUAAUCGGCCACAUUGGGACUGAGACACGGCCCAGACUCCUACGGGAGGCAGCAGUAGGGAAUCUUCCACAAUGGACGCAAGUCUGAUGGAGCAACGCCGCGUGAGUGAAGAAGGGUUUCGGCUCGUAAAGCUCUGUUGUUAAAGAAGAACGUGGGUGAGAGUAACUGUUCACCCAGUGACGGUAUUUAACCAGAAAGCCACGGCUAACUACGUGCCAGCAGCCGCGGUAAUACGUAGGUGGCAAGCGUUAUCCGGAUUUAUUGGGCGUAAAGCGAGCGCAGGCGGUCUUUUAAGUCUAAUGUGAAAGGCUUCAGGCUCAACGCGAAGAAGUGCAUUGUAAACGUGUGAGAC